UGUUGCAGCUGGAGAUUUCAGGGUGGUUACAUCAGCAGGGAUGGGGUAACCAGGCUCUCUGUUCUCUGGUUUGGCCCUGGUUAGUCUUAAACUGGAGGGCUGUUGUGCCCUGCCAGCUCAGUGCUGCUCUGCCACCAAGUUAGAAAGUCUGGCUGUAACUGGAGACUGGGUCGCCUGGUGUGUCUAGCUUGUAUGACAUUUCUGCCUGGUUUUGGAGAUGCCUGAAAUGUUUGUGGAGCUCCAGUAAUGCUAAAUUUGUGCUUUAUCUUCUAUGACUGGAUGGGGUAUUUGAUUAUGAGACAGGGAUGUCUGAAUACCCUGGAUUCUUUAAAUAGCACCAAUAAAUAAUUUGUUCACCAAGCUGUCCCUGAAAAGACUUUUCUCUUAGGCUGCUUCCAGUGCCCUACUGGUGCAAAACAGGCAACUUUUCAUAUUUCCUCAGCAAAAUCCACAUAAUACAGACAACGGUAGACAAGUGGUAACAGCUCUUAGCAGCUUGGAAACCAUUUGCUCUUCACUUGUACUUCCAAAUGACAAUGAACCUCACUCAGCACCUGUAUGCCAAAGACAAACGGGUUGAGAAAGAAAUUAAGGAAACAACACCUUUCACAAUAGUCAUAACAAACAUAAAGUAUAUUGAUGUGACUCUAAUCAAACAAGUGAAAGACCUGUAUAAAAAACAAAACAAAACAAAAA